GACGGAGGGAGCUAGCGUUGUUCGGAAUUACUGGGCGUAAAGAGUACGUAGGCGGUUAUUCAAGUCAGAGGUGAAAGCCCGGGGCUCAACCCCGGAACGGCCUUUGAAACUAGAUAGCUAGAGUCUUGGAGAGGUUAGUGGAAUUCCGGGUGUAGAGGUGAAAUUCGUAGAUAUUCGGAAGAACACCAGUGGCGAAGGCGACUAACUGGACAAGUACUGACGCUGAGGAACGAAAGUAUGGGGAGCAGACAGG
rnacentral:rRNA from 1 species